AAGAGACUUAGACACUAGUAAUAAUAACUGGGCUUAAGCAUUUUGGGCCGUGGUUGGGCCCAACGAGUUAUUGUUACUAAUGGACUCGGUCGUUACAAAUUCACAAUAUGACUUAUCUGAACAUCUAAUCUAUUCAAGAAAACACUUCUUUGCUUCAUCUGCGGCAGCAUGUAGAACUAACAUCAAGCAUAUUCUCAACAUCUAAUCCAUCCAACUGGCAUCAUCUACUUCUCCUCCUCAUUCUCUUUAU
rnacentral:lncRNA from 1 species